rnacentral:rRNA from 1 species
CGAUUCCGGAGAGGGAGCCUGAGAAACGGCUACCACAUCCAAGGAAGGCAGCAGGCGCGCAAAUUACCCACUCCCGGCACGGGGAGGUAGUGACGAAAAAUAACGAUACGGAACUCAUACGAGGCUCCGUAAUCGGAAUGAGUACACUUUAAAUCCUUUAACGAGGAUCUAUUGGAGGGCAAGUCUGGUGCCAGCAGCCGCGGUAAUUCCAGCUCCAAUAGCGUAUAUUAAAGUUGUUGCGGUUAUAAAGCUCGUAGUUGGAUCUCGGUUUCACUCAGGUGGUACACCUUGCGGUGUUCACUGUCUGGGCGGACGUUUCUGUUGGUUCGCUGUUGGUUCUCUUAAUCGAGUGCCAAUUGGUGGCCAGCACGUUUACUUUGAAAAAAUUGGAGUGCUCAAAGCAGGCGUUACAGCCUGAACAUUAGUGCAUGGAAUAAUGGAAUAGGAUCUCGAUUCUAUUUCGUUGGCUUUCGGAGUCGAGGUAAUGAUUAAUAGGGACAGACGGGGGCAUUCGUACUGCGACGUUAGAGGUGAAAUUCUUGGAUCGUCGCAAGACGAACUACUGCGAAAGCAUUUGCCAAGAAUGUUUUCAUUAAUCAAGAACGAAAGUUAGAGGUUCGAAGGCGAUCAGAUACCGCCCUAGUUCUAACCAUAAACGAUGCCAACCGGCGAUCCGUCGUCGUUAAUUGAAUGACUCGACGGGCAGCCUCCGGGAAACCAGAGUGUUUGGGUUCCGGGGGAAGUAUGGUUGCAAAGCCGAAACUUAAAGGAAUUGACGGAAGGGCACCACCAGGAGUGGAGCCUGCGGCUUAAUUUGACCCAACACGGGAAAUCUCACCAGGCCCGGACACCGGAAGGAUUGACAGAUUGAGAGCUCUUUCUUGAUUCGGUGGGUGGUGGUGCAUGGCCGUUCUUAGUUGGUGGAGCGAUUUGUCUGGUUAAUUCCGAUAACGAACGAGACUCUGGCCUACUAACUAGAAGGGUCGUUCUUUACGAGCGGCCCUCUGCUUCUUAGAGGGACGGGCGGCGUUUAGCCGCACGAGAAUGAGCAAUAACAGGUCUGUGAUGCCCUUAGAUGUUCUGGGCUGCACGCGCGCUACACUGAAGGAAUCAGCAUGUUCUCCCCUCCCUGAAAAGGGCGGGUAACCCGUUGAAACUCCUUCGUGAUGGGGAUUGGAGAUUGUAAUUAUUCUCCAUGAACGAGGAAUUCCCAGUAGGCGCGAGUCAUCAGCUUGCGUCGAUUACGUCCCUGCCCUUUGUACACACCGCCCGUCGCUACUACCGAUCGAGUGAUUUAGUGAGGACUUCGGACUGGUCUCCAAGUUGGCUUCGGUCAGCUCGGAGUUCCGGAAAGAUGCCCAAACUUGAUCACUUAGAGGAAGUAAAAGUCGUAACAAGGUU